GGGUUCAAACCAGAAUUGAUUUAGUUUUGGAUCAAAUUGGAAUUAAAGAGUCCUAGUCCACAGGGACUCUAUCCUUUUCCCUUUGUGUCACUCUGGACCCAUGCCUCUCUUCUCAAUGCCAAAAGGGUUUUGGUGUGUGAAUUUUGGGCAUGAGGAGAGAGGGCGCAGAUAGGGUGAGCGGCAUGCAUGAUGAGUCAUG
rnacentral:lncRNA from 1 species